rnacentral:rRNA from 1 species
UGCGUAGGCGGUUUUGUUAGUCUUUUGUUAAAUCUCCCGGCUCAACCGGGAACCUGCAAAGGAAACGGCAAAACUCGAGGAUGUGAGAGGUGAUCGGAACUCAAGGUGUAGGGGUGAAAUCCGUUGAUAUCUUGGGGAACACCAAAAGCGAAGGCAGAUCACUGGCACAUUCCUGACGCUGAAGCACGAAAGCGUGGGUAGCGAACG